rnacentral:misc_RNA from 1 species
UACGUAGGACCCAAGCGUUAUCCGGAGUGACUGGGCGUAAAGAGUUGCGUAGGUGGCUCGUUAAGCAGAUAGUGAAAUCGUGUGGCUCAACCAUUACGGCUAUUAUCUGAACUGACGAGCUCGAGAGUGGUAGAGGUAGCUGGAAUUUCGUGUGUAGGAGUGAAAUCCGUAGAUAUACGAAGGAACACCGAUGGCGUAGGCAGGCUACUGGACCAUUUCUGACACUGAGGCACGAAAGCGUGGGGAGCGAACCGG